ACCAGACAAUGCAGUCAUGUGAGAAACUGUCUUCAGUAAAACAUCCUGAACAUCCAGUGGUAAGCUGCUGUACUCCCUAUAAACCAGGGGUGUCAAACUCAUUGAGGCUGAGGGCGGAUGGGAACAAAUGGAUUGCUCCUGAUCGAUUGCUCCUGUCUGCCUCGCGUCUGCCUCACUGCUCAGAGUGGUUUGUGUCUGUAACUCCGUAUAGCUUUGUUUUGAAUCUCUUACUAUCAUUCAUCGUUUAUAUUAUCAUUACCAUAUAUCUAAUAUUGCCUAUCACAUUAAUCUGACUUCGCUAGCUUUUAAUCUAAGUCGCUAUCACAAUGCGUUAGCAUUUCGCUAGCUUGUUAACUUGUCAUCAGUCUCUCGUGCGCUCCUUUUUCUACGCGUUCAUCAAACAGCUGUGGUAAGUCGGAUCAGUCUACAAACACAGUGAGUCAUGUCAUCCUCUCCUUCUAUUGUUACUUGCUCUGCCUGUCUCAUACUUUCUCUGUCAGUGACGAGGGAUUUACAUGUCAUAAAUGUAGGGAAAUAGUCAGGCUGACAUAGAAAAUCUCAGAAUUAGAGACACGCAUCCAAACUUUAAUUGAGGAUAGCAAGAAUGCAAAGGCUUUAGAUACUGUUUUGGAUGCGACUAGCUUACUGAACUCUGUACAUUGUUCGGUUCCGGCUGUAGAGCCCGUGCAGCAGGGCAAUUGGGUAAUGGUGAGACGGCAUAGUUGUUCUCAGAAAGGCCUUAAAAACUGCUAGAUUUGCUUAUUUUUCAAAUCUUUUAGAAGAAAAUAAACACAACCCUAGGUAUUUAUUUGAUACAGUGGCUAAAUUAAUAAGAAAUAAAGCUUCAACUUCUGAUGUUUCCAAACAGCACAGCAGUAAUGACUUUAUUAACUUUUUUACUUUCAAGAUUGACAAUAUUAGAGAGAAAAUUAUAACCAUGCAACCGUCUACUACAGUAUCGCGUCAGACAGUGCAUUGUAGUAUCCCUGAGGAAAAAUUAAAUUCAUUCAUUGCUUUAGGAGAGGAAGAAUUGUCUAAACUUGUUAAAUCAUCAAAAUCAACAACAUGUAUGUUAGACCUUAUACCGACUAAGCUAUUGAAAGAGAUGCUUCCAGAGGUUAUAGAUCCUCUUCUUAAUAUCAUUAAUUCAUCUUUAUCAUUAGGAUACGUACCAAAAACUUUAAAGCUGGCUAUUAUUAAACCUCUCAUUAAAAAGCCACUUGAUCCUAGAGAAUUAGUCAAUUACAGGCCUAUCUCAAAUCUUCAUUUUCUGUCAAAAAUACUAGAAAAGGCAGUAUCAUCACAACUAUGUUCCUUUUUAGAAAGAAAUGGUAUCUGUGAGGAUUUCCAGUCAGGAUUUAGACCGUACCAUAGUACUGAGACUGCUCUCAUUAGAGUUACAAAUGAUCUGCUCUUAUCAUCAGAUCGUGGUUGUAUCCCACUAUUAGUGUUACUGGAUCUUGGUGCUGCAUUUGACACUAUCGAUCACAACAUUCUUUUAAAUAGACUCGAAAAAUAUGUUGGCAUUAGUGGAAUUGCACUGUCAUGGUUCAAAUCAUACUUAUCUGACCGUUAUCAGUUUGUAGUAGUAAACGAAGAGAUGUCAUAUCGAUCACAAGUUCAAUAUGGAGUACCGCAAGGCUCAGUACUAGGACCGUUGCUGUUCACUCUGUACAUGCUACCCUUGGGAGAUAUCAUUAGGAAGCAUGGCGUUAGUUUUCACUGUUACGCUGAUGAUACUCAGCUCUAUAUUUCUUCGCGCCCUGACGAAACUUAAUGGAAUGCAUAGCUGAUAUAAAAAAUUGGAUGACCAGUAAUUUCCUACUACUAAAUAAAAAACAGAGAUUCUAAUUUUCGGACCAAAAACUUCUGCACGUAAUAACCUAGAAUACUGUCUAACACUUGAUGGCUGCUCUGUUAAGCCUUUGUCGCCAGUUAGGAACCUGGGUGUGCUCUUUGAUACCAAUCUUUCAUUUGAAAGCCACAUUUCUAGCAUCUGUAAAACCGCAUUCUUCAAUCUUAAAAAUAUAUCUAAACUACGACAUAUGCUCUCAAUGACAAAUGCAGAACAGUUAGUUCAUGCGUUCAUGACCUCAAGGCUAGAUUACUGUAACGCUUAAUAGCUUAAUAACGUAAUUACUGUUAGGCUGCAUAAAUUAGGUCAGCCGGAACCAGGAACACUUCCUAUAACACCUGAUGUACUCGUUACAUCAGAAGAAGAAUAGCAUCUACGCUAAUAUUAGUUUCUCUGUUUAUCCCGAGGUUUACCGUAGUCAGCCGUAUCCAGGUGAGAUCGAGGACCUGCGCCUAAACACGACCACAACACAUCCCUGAAGUGUCAGCAGAGAUUGAGUCAACUAGAUCAUCCACUGUGAAGGCCUCAUCGACACGACAGCCAGUGGCACAGUUCCUUAACAAACCGUCCAUACCAUCAUGAUGAAUACGAUCCUCAACUGGAUGGAACUGGAAUAAAUACUUUGACUAUUGCAAUCCCAAUCAGACUUAUGAUAGCUGCCUGAAUCAUAAUAAAGCAUUGUUCGCUGUUGGCCAGAGGAGAACUGGCCCCCUGACUGAGCCUGGUUUCUCCCAAGGUUUUUUUCUCCAUUUUAACACCUGUUUGCUACCUGAUGUCACCUGUUGGAGUUUGGGUUCCUUGCCGCUGUUACCUUUGGUUUGCUUAGUUGGGGACACUUGACAUUUGAUAUUCAACAGUGUUUUGAUCUGCCUGCAUUGUCACCAUUGUAUGCAAACUGAACUGAGUUGGAUGAUGACAACACUGUUCACUCCAGUGCUGAUAUAGAUAAAUUAACUAAAUAACUAUUGAUUCUUACAACCGAAUGAAUCAAUACUGAAUUUACUUAAGAUGGACAAUGACACCAUUUUCUUUAAGAGCUGCUGUGCAGCCAAAAUUAUAUACCAGUUAUCACUGUAAAGCUACUUUGACACAAUCUGCAUUGUAAAAAGCGCUAUAUAAAUAAAGGUGAAAUGCGCUGACAGUUAGUCUACAUUGAUAUUAACCAUGCAAACUACAAAUUAAUUUGCAAGAAAACUAGAAAAACACUGCUCUGUGAAAACUGCAUUUUUACAGUGAAAACUUGUUUUUUUAUAUAUAUAUAUUAGGGAUGCAACGAUUAUGAUUUAUUUUUAUUUAUUUUUUUUGGCUGAUUUCGAUUUUUUUUUUUUUACAAAUUGGUCGAUUCCGAUACUGGGUGGCGAUUUUUUUUAUUUUUUUAAACCAAAUUAAUUUGUUGUUUAUUUGCUCUUUAACAGUCCAAACUGGCCUUUGAAAUUAGAGGCAAUUUAAUCAUGAUGCAAACAAAGAUGCUACACACAUGCAGCAUGCCAUGAGCAGUUGGUUUUUAUUUAAAUUAGAUUGUAUAAUUUAAAGAUUUAAAGCAAAAACAGAAUGAUCUGACUUUUGUUUUGUGAAAUUAUGCUAUAAUUAUGCUAUAAGACAUCUGCACAAAACAAAAACAGCAGACAGACUGAAUUAAAAUGCAAAUUCACUCUCUGACAGUAGAUUUACCUUGGGGCAUUACAUUGGUUUCCACUGUACACAAAGCAGUGCUGCGUUGUCUAUGGAGGUAUGAGGAAAAGAAAAUGCCUUUAAUACUAUUCUGAAGACAGUUCCCUUCAGAGAUACAAUCAUAUAAAUCCUCACCCCCAAUUCAAUAUUUAUAUAUUUCUUCCUAUGUUUUGGGCAUCACAAACAGUGAGCUUGCUGUGUCUGGUGUAGUAUUUGCUCGGCUGUGUUCUCUUCUUCUGUGUUCUCGUCUCCAACAUUCAAUGACCAGAUGAGCAGUGCAAUUACAAAUAAAUCAACUCAAAGUACUACAUUCAUAAUACAUUGAUAAUACAUUGAUGAAUAAAAUAAAUAAAAGAACAGUGAAUAAUACUAAAUAAAAUAAUAAAUGAAUGCACAAAUAUUCUUUAUAAAAGCUGCUUGUCCUGUUUGUUCUCUUCUGCAUUCUGAACUUAUUAAUCACAUACCACAAAACCCACAACCUGGCUCUGUCAGUGCAUUCUCAAUACAUAUUUGGACAUUUCAUCAUUCAGACAUCAUGGUAUCGUGUCAAGUUGUACAGCAUUGUGCAUAAAAAUAACAAAUUAAUGAUCUUUUCGAAUUUUUUUUUUUUUUUUUUUUCAUUUUAAAAAUAAGAAGGUUGUUCCAGACCUGGGUCCAGCUUUGAGAUAUACGAUGGGCCAAGUGAAAUUCCUGGUGGGAAUUCAACAUUAUUUUAUUUUUUCCCUGUAACAGAUUUCGUAACUAAAAGAGGGAGGUCUUGAAAGGGACAAGGAGAGUACAGAGACAGGAUCUAAUGCAGCAGUCUGUGACAAGCAGAGCAGGGCGAGAGCCGUGAGAGAACGGUGCGAGGCCGGUCGCGUGAUUGCUAAGGAGCGUCACCUGCGCACUACACCAGUCUUGUAUCUCUCACAGAGGAGCUCCGGAAGCAUUAAAGGAGGAGCGACAACAGUGAAGGAUGAGAAAGGACCAGGCCUGGAUUUAUGUUAUGUUUUUAUUUACAAAAUAACAAAUGCAGGAGCACUGCAGCACAGGAUAAACUCAGGAGAACAGGAUAAACACAACCAAAUUAACAGUGACAUGGGAACGGACAGUGAUGAACAGAAAACGUGUGCUAUAUAUAUACAAAGAGUGAGCUAAUUAACCCUCUGUGGUCUGAGGAUUUCACGAUCAGAGUCUGAAAAUGAUGACAAAAUAAAGUUUUAUUAAAUAACUCAAAGGCAGAUAAAUCCAAGAACAAGUAAACAACACAAAACUGUGUGCACAGCACAAACAAUACCAGACAAAUGUGAAGUGAGGACAGAGCAACUUAAAUACACCACAAACAAUAGUGAUAAAUGACAAACACCUGUGAUGAUUAAAUGAAUCUCCAUAGCAACUCAUAAGUGCCAGGAAACUGAACAAGGGAAAACAGGAACUAAUGAAUACAAACUAAAAGUCCAUGAACACAAAACUAAAUGAAACACAUGACUGACAAUUCGUGACAUUACAGCCUCGCACCGUAGUGUGCAGGAGUGCCUUUAGAAAACAGUUGAUUGUAGUGGUUCAACCUUAAUGUUAUGAAGUGAUGAGAAUACUUUUCGUGCGCAAAAAACUAAACAAAAAUAACGACUUUAUUCACCAAUUUUUCCUCUUCCCUGUCAGUCUCCUAUGGCCGACGCUGUUCAAGUGAUAAGCACAGCGUAUGCGUGUGAUGCUGACGCAGGAUCUGGCCAAUAAUAAGUUGUCAUUCUGAUGUAGAACCUGAAAGCUCUGCACUGUGUUCCCUGCGUCAAUUGUGUAGCAGAAUGACAGGGAAGAGGAAAAAUUGGUGAAUAAAGUCGUUAUUUUUGUGUUGUUUUUACUACUUCUCUGGACCUUGAAUGAUGGUAAUUACGUUGCUUUCUAUGGGAGAUAAAAAAAAAAACUCUCGGAUUCCAUCAAAAAUAUCUUAAUUUGUGUUCCGAAGAUGAACGAAGGUCUUGUGGGUUUGGAACGACAUGAGGGUGAGUAAUUAAUGACCCCCAGUUUCACAGACAAGGCUUAAGCUAGUCCCAGACUAAAAUGCAUGCUUGAGCUGUUUUAACUGAAAGUAAUUUGUACUGACAGAUCUUAGAACAUUUCAGUGCCAUUGUUUUGUCUCAAGAUGCACACCAGUAAUGCUUUUUUUUUUCCUUUUUUUUCUAGUGAACAUUUAUAAAAGCUACUCAAAUGACCUAAUUGAACUAAGGCCUAAUCCUGGCUUAGGCUAAGCCCUGUCUGUGAAACUGGGCCUAAGUGUUCCAGAGGCAACAGUGGCAAGGAAACCAAAAUCCACCAGGUGACAGAAUGGAGAAAAAAACCUUAGGAGAAACCAGGCUCAGUCAGGGGGCCAGUUCUCCUCUGGCCAAUGAGCACGGUGUGAUUAUAAUUUGGUCAGCAUUACAAGUCAGAAUUCAGAUUGGAAUCACGGUAGCAUUCAAAUUAUUUAAUCCAGCUCCUUCUGGCUGAAGAUCGGAUCCAUCACCUUAAAAGAGUACAUCAGUUUCAGUUUGGAUCCAACCUCUUAAGAAGACCUCAGAUGACUAAAACUUUGGAAGAGACGGCGCCAACUCCUGCGAGGACUUCAGAAGAUGCAACAUCUGGAUCAACACGCAUAUUCCCAAAUUUCUAUAUAUCCUAAUUAUUGUUAAUAUGUAAUUCAUUUUUCCAGGAGCUCUUUGCUUCUACCUUCAAUUAAAUUGCUAACAGUGAUUGUAAAUUAAUUGCCUAAAUUAUUACAUUAUUAGCAAACUGCAUUCUCCAAAUUGUAAUGUUGACAUGCACUCUCUGUAAAGCUGCUUUGAAACGAUAUGUAU